rnacentral:rRNA from 1 species
UACGUAGGGGGCAAGCGUUGUCCGGAUUUAUUGGGCGUAAAGAGCGUGUAGGCGGCCUGACAGGUCCGUUGUGAAAACUCGAGGCUCAACCUCGAGACGCCGAUGGAAACUGUCUGGCUAGAGUCCGGAAGAGGAGAGUGGAAUUCCUGGUGUAGCGGUGAAAUGCGCAGAUAUCAGGAAGAACACCCGUGGCUAAGGCGGCUCUCUAGUACGGUACUGACGCUGAGACGCGAAAGCGUGGGGAGCGAACAGG